GACGAACGCUGGCGGCGUGCCUAAUACAUGCAAGUCGAACGCUUUUUCUUUCACCGGAGCUUGCUCCACCGAAAGAAAAAGAGUGGCGAACGGGUGAGUAACACGUGGGUAACCUGCCCAUCAGAAGGGGAUAACACUUGGAAACAGGUGCUAAUACCGUAUAACACUAUUUUCCGCAUGGAAGAAAGUUGAAAGGCGCUUUUGCGUCACUGAUGGAUGGACCCGCGGUGCAUUAGCUAGUUGGUGAGGUAACGGCUCACCAAGGCAACGAUGCAUAGCCGACCUGAGAGGGUGAUCGGCCACACUGGGACUGAGACACGGCCCAGACUCCUACGGGAGGCAGCAGUAGGGAAUCUUCGGCAAUGGACGAAAGUCUGACCGAGCAACGCCGCGUGAGUGAAAGAAGGUUUUCGGAUCGUAAAAACUCUGU
rnacentral:rRNA from 1 species